rnacentral:rRNA from 1 species
AUACGUAGGUGGCAAGCGUUGUCCGGAAUUAUUGGGCGUAAAGCGCAUGUAGGCGGUAAUUUAAGUCUGUCGUGAAACUGCGGGGCUCAGCCCCGUAUGGCGAUGGAAACUGGGUUACUUGAGUGCAGGAGAGGAAAGGGGAACUCCCAGUGUAGCGGUGAAAUGCGUAGAUAUUGGGAAGAACACCGGUGGCGAAGGCGCCUUUCUGGACUGUGUCUGACGCUGAGAUGCGAAAGCCAGGGUAGCGAACGGGAUUAGAUACCCCGGUAGUCCUGGCCGUAAACGAUGGGUACUAGGUGUGGGAGGUAUCGACCCCUUCCGUGCCGGAGUUAACGCAAUAAGUACACCGCCUGGGGAGUAUGCUCGCAAGGGUGAAACUCAAAGGAAUUGACGGGG